CCAGGAUCAUCAGUGGAGCGUCUGAAGGUUCAUCAGAGCGCUGUGGAGUCUCUCGGAAUCGCCUGCUACACACAAGGAGCUCUCAGCAGUCUCUUCUACCUGGCCUACAGCUUUCAUAAUGACGUGACGGGGGGAAUCCUGACCAACACCAACUGUGGAGGUGAGAACUGUAACCGUGGGGCAGCGUUGGGGGCUCUUCUUGGGGCCCGGGCGGUGUAUCUCGGCUCAGUCGUACCACAGGAGUGGAAGGACGGACUGGUUGAAGCUCAGGGGCGAAUCAGUGACAUCCUGCAGGAGCUGAACAGAUCCACAUCAGUCUGAUGUUCUUCUGCUUGUGAACUUCCUCCUGCACUGCUGUGUUGUUUAGCUCUUCCCUUGACUCUUCGUAUGUCUUUCUGUCUGCUGUGUUUAUUCACACACACACACACACUCAAGCAUGUGCUGCUGCCACAGGAAACGGUGCCCACAGAUGUGGUUUCCAGCCUGCACUGUGGAAGACUUUCCUCUCGUCUGUAUACCUUCAGUCACACUGUGACCUACUUGCAUAAUUCUCGUAUUAGAACUUCAUCUGUUAUAGAUUGAGUAAAUGUUAAUCAGACAGUUCAUGCUUUAAAGAUUCUCAUUAGAAUGUGUUUGAGACAUAAACUUACAAGUUGAUGUAUUGCAGAAUAUGUGACUGCAGAAGCAGCAUACUAAACGCUCUUGAGGACACUCAUUUCAGAGUUUGAAACAAAAAUAUAUAAUAUAUAAAUAUAAUAUUUUUCUUAUCUUGUUUUUAACUAUUUGAUCCUAAAUGCUUGCAUAAAAACUGGUAAUGAUUUGAAUUGAAUAAUUUGGUGAUAUAAAUUUGGUGACUUAAGUGUAGUUUUUAGUUUCUAGUUUUAUCUAGUUUGUAAUUAUGUAACUUUUUAAAUAAUGCAUCAUGAUUUAACUUCAUUUGACUGAAGUUCUGUUAUUAAAGGGGUUCUAUUAUUCUCUUUUACAAAGU